GGCGUUUUGGCUGAGUGGUUAUAGCGAUAGACUAGAACAUCCUCUCACAGGAUACUAGAUAAUCUAUUUCCCUAGGGAGCGUAGGUUCAAAUCCUGCAGACGUAU